rnacentral:rRNA from 1 species
CCCAUAUGGUCGACCUGCAGGCGGCCGCACUAGUGAUUCGACUAAGCCAUGCAAGUCGAGAGGGUUCGGCCCUCGGCGUACUGCUCAGUAACACGUGGAUAACCUGCCCUAAGGAAGGGGAUAACCCCGGGAAACUGGGGAUAAUACCCUAUAGGUUAUAGAUGCUGGAAUGCUCUGUAACUCAAAGUUCAGGCGCCUUAGGAUGGAUCUGCGGCCGAUUAGGUUGUUGUUGGGGUAAUGGCCCAACAAGCCAGUAAUCGGUACGGGUUGUGGGAGCAAGAGCCCGGAGUUGGAUUCUGAGACACGAAUCCAGGCCCUACGGGGCGCAGCAGGCGCGAAAACUUUACAAUGCGGGCAACCGUGAUAAGGGAACCUCGAGUGCCUGUAUAUGCAGGCUGUCCAGGUGUCUAAACCACACCUGAAGAAAGGGCCGGGCAAGACCGGUGCCAGCCGCCGCGGUAAUACCGGCGGCUCGAGUGGUGGCCACUUUUAUUGGGCUUAAAGCGUUCGUAGCUGGGUUGUUAAGUCUCUUGGGAAAUCCGGCGGCUCAACCGUCGGGCGUCUAAGGGAUACUGGCAAUCUUGGAACCGGGAGAGGUGAGGGGUACUUCGGGGGUAGGAGUGAAAUCCUGUAAUCCUCGAGGGACCACCUGUGGCGAAGGCGCCUCACCAGAACGGCUUCGACAGUGAGGGACGAAAGCUGGGGGAGCAAACCGGAUUAGAUACCCGGGUAGUCCCAGCCGUAAACGAUGUGCGUUAGGUGUAUCGACGACCACGAGUUGUCGAGGUGCCGAAGGGAAACCGUGAAACGUACCGCCUGGGAAGUACGGUCGCAAGGCUGAAACUUAAAGGAAUUGGCGGGGGAGCAAAUCCCGCGGCCA